rnacentral:lncRNA from 10 species
ACCCCUGGAAAUGACGGGAGACCCCCGGAAAUGAUGGGAGCAGGAGAUUUCUAACUUGGAAUCACUAAGGACAAAAACUCCUAUAUUCCUGAAGCCCUACAAGCUGGAACUGGACAACUCGAUGUAAAUUUCAGGAGACAACCCCCAUGCCUGAUGUGUGGGCCACUAAGGGAGUUUACCAAAACAUCCAAUGCCAUAACCAGAGACAUUCAAACUAAACCAAGAAAAUGUUUCAAGCUCAAAUCCAGAAAUCUUGUCAACUAACUGCCCUCUGAACUCAGAGACUGAGUUUAUAAUUUGUCCUAAGCCAUUAACCUUUGUUAAUAGCUUUUUUUUGUUUUGUUUAUUUUUUCUGGUUUGGUUCAUGAGGGCAUUUGUUAAGAAGCAUACUCUAAUCCCUUGGUAUAUCCUCCUGAUAGUUCCCAUUGUAAUCUCCCAGCUGCAUUCUCUCAAGGGUUUUGAAGGUGUAUUUGCAGCGAUUAGUGGUAUACUAGGUGGCCUCACUGUGAUUACUGCAACAACUGCAAGAUGACCAAAGGAAUGUGUCUUCCACAAGGCUGACAUUGUGACUUAUGAGUUUCAUGCUAAGACAAAGACAACCCUGCCAUGAUGAUGACUGACAGUAGUGCUGAUGCCAUAAAUUUUUAUCAAAUCCCUCAGUACAGGUUGAGUCUGAUCAAAAGGGGAAAGCUGUUCAGUAAAAUAUGUGGGAGGUCAUUGUUUUGGAUUAAGCUCCUGCACUAGGCCCCAACAGACCAGAUCAAACCAGAAUGGAGUCACUCAUGCCAGAUGCCACAUUGUCAAACUGAAUGUAAAAAUAGGUCACUUGUUCAAAAAAAAAAGGAGAUUCACAGUAACCAAUUGAAAGGGGCCCAGUCAACCUAAGCUCACAUGAUAAGGAAGUCUCCUCUAGUUUAACGUAUGCAAGGAAAGUAGCUUUGAAAUCACCAGUCCACUUUUUGUUUCUUCUUUCUGCUUUCUUCAGUCUUUUCCAUUAUAAAGCCCACACAUCUGCUCAGCUCAGUAGGGCACCUUUCUAUUUCAUAGAUGGAAUGUCACUUGAUUCAUGAAUCAUUAAUAAAAGCCAAUUUGAUGUUUAAAACUCAGUUUGCUAAAAUGUUGUUCUUUAAUAGUACUAUGGACUGAAUUAUUUGGUGUCAGAUAAUGUCCAGGAG